rnacentral:rRNA from 1 species
CGGUAAUUCCAGCUCCAAUAGCGUAUACUAAAGUUGUUGCAGUUAAAAAGCUCGUAGUUGGAUUUCUGCGGGGACGGAGCGGCCGGUCGCAACUUGCGACUCGAGCUAGCGCUUUCCCCGCAUCCUGCCGCGAACCGUGCUACCAUUAGCUUGGUGGCGCUGGGGAUCGGCUCGAUUACUUUGAGAAAAAUAGAGUGUUCAAAGCAGGCCACACGCCUUGAAUAAGUUAGCAUGGAAUAAUGACUAAGGACUUCGGUUCUAUUUUGUUGGUGUUCGGGACUGAAGUAAUGAUUGAUAGGGACAGUUGGGGCGGUCUGUAUUCCAAAGCGAGAGGUGAAAUUCUUAGACCUUCGGAAGACAAACAGCUGCGAAAGCGUUCCGCAAGGAUGUUCCCUUUGAUCAAGAACGAAAGUUGGGGGAUCGAAGACGAUCAGAUACCGUCGUAGUCUCAACUAUAAACUAUACCAGCUAGGGAUCGGUCAACGUUUAAUCAUUCGACUUGAUCGGCACCUUAUGAGAAAUCAAAGCAUCUGGGUUCCGGGGGGAGUAUGGUCGCAAGGCUGAAACUUAAAGGAAUUGACGGAAGGGCACCACCAGCCGUGGAGCCUGUGGCUUAAUUUGACUCAACACGGGAAAACUUACCAGGUCCAGACAUAGUAAGGAUUGACAGAUUGAUAGCUCUUUCUUGAUUCUGUGGGUGGUGGUGCAUGGCCGUUCUUAGUUGGUGGAGUGAUUUGUCUGGUUAAUUCCGUUAACGAACGAGACCCCAGCCUGCUAAAUAGCGCGGCUGAGCUUUGCUCGGUGCGAGCUUCUUAGAGGGACUAUGAUGCGCGAUAGCACAUGGGAGUUUGGGGCAAUAACAGGUCUGUGAUGCCCUUAGAUGUUCUGGGCCGCACACGGGCUACACUGGCGCCUGCAACGAGCAUAUCAGCUGGCCCGAGAGGGUCUUGGCUAAUCUUUUGAACCGGCGCCGUGCUUGGGAUUGACCUUUGCAAUUGUUGGUCAUGCAACGAGGAAUGCCUUGUAAACGCGAGUCAUCAGCUCGCAUUGAAUACGUCCCUGCCCUUUGUACACACCGCCC